AAAUUUAAUGUUAUUUCUUUUUUUGUUAAAUUUUCAGAUUUUUUUUUUUGUCAGCGCGUCAUGGAAGUUUUUGGCGCUUAAUUCUGACCGGCCAUUGGAGGCAACUUCCAAUUUUUGUCCAGGAGAAUCUCGGCUUGUUAGGCAAAAGACAUCAAAAAUGGUUUUUACUGCCAACUCACACAAGGCCAGUUUCCAUCAGCCAAACAAGACAAUCACGGGAACAAAUUCAAACACAAAUUGGGCAGCUGUUUAUCCUGGCGGGUUUCCAGAAAUUCCGGAUUUGCCAAAACUGACCACCUCCAGGAAGAAGUCUCGAGGAGCCAAUAUUUUUUUGUUCGGGGCUAUAGUUGGCGCGACUUCUAAACACAAACAACACAUAUUACAACACAAACCUUCCUCUGUAAAUUUUUCACUCUACUUACUACUAUUUUGUUCGCACGUUCACAUAAAUUAAAGUUUUUGGCGCUUAAUUCUGACCGGCCAUUGGAGGCAACUUCCAAUUUUUGUCCAGGAGAAUCUCGGCUUGUUAGGCAAAAGACAUCAAAAAUGGUUUUUACUGCCAACUCACACAAGGCCAGUUUCCAUCAGCCAAACAAGACAAUCACGGGAACAAAUUCAAACACAAAUUGGGCAGCUGUUUAUCCUGGCGGGUUUCCAGAAAUUCCGGAUUUGCCAAAACUGACCACCUCCAGGAAGAAGUCUCGAGGAGCCAAUAUUUUUUUGUUCGGGGCUAUAGUUGGCGCGACUUCUAAACACAAACAACACAUAUUACAACACAAACCUUCCUCUGUUAAUUUUUUACUCUACUUACUACUAUUUUGUUCGCACGUUCACAUAAAUUAAACUGUCCAAAAUGAACAGAAAUAAACACACCACAAUUUGACAUUAAAUUUAGUAAAUAUUCCACUGUUAUUUUAUUUUGACGAUGAGGCUUAUUUCCCCGACAAAUGGUAUUUUUUCCACAACAGAACAAGACGCAUUAACGAAAUUUUCCCCGCUACGCCUUUUUAUAGGGCAAAAACUGAUGCCAGUUUUUCCCUCUUUCCAAAAUUUUAGCGGAUUUUUCCUCAAUUUAUUCAUUUUUCCUUUGAACCGCACCUACAUAUCCCUACACCCCACAUAGUUGCAUUCCUCAUUCCACUUACAGUGAUGGGUGGCAACGCUGAAAUUCUGUACCUGAUCCGGCCACUUCGCAUAUCCGGCUCUCUCAUUUUUUCGCCGGCCAAGGAAGACAGCAACUAUGCUGGUAAUAAAUUUAUUAACAUUUUAAAUAUUUCUGGGUCACAUGCAACAAACUUCAACAUUUCUUGGAAAUGAUGAUGUGCAUGACCUAUGGAAUAGUAUUGUGAAAAAUCUCUCAGUGAUGGCUGAAAUAAAGAGGGAUUUAAAUCGGGAUAUGCCAACCUUCAGGAAACGCAUGCUAUCAGGUAGAAUCACGGACAUUUCUUAAGUGGACAGGACACAGGUCUUAAAAUUUCAUUAAUGAUUUGUCGGUCGAUUAUGGGUUUGUGCGUACGCACAAAAUACGGUGUCUCAAUGUGCACACACACAACCAAACAUGUACGUGCGGUUGUUAACAUUUUUCUGAAUGGUGGUCGAGAACUUCAGUAAAUUGGGGUGGAUUAAGCAGGUUACUAAUGGGGUGACAUUUUGGCACAAAAAUUGUUGGCAGCUAAACAAAUUACAAGGUAAUAUAGUAUGGAGCGCUACAUAUAUUCCCCUUGUGUACACCAACCGUCAGAUAUUACCAACAAAUUGAUUGUUAGCACGAGAAACAUCAUGGAAAAAUGAUUGCCUUGCGAUGAGGAAGAUUCUUGAGUAAUUUGUGCCUUGUGUGUUGUGUUGUUUGUUUGAAAGUGCCUUGAAGCACAAACAAACGAUUUUGUUCGGCAUCGUGAAAUGAUGCCUAGCAUUUAUGUCUAGACUUGAGGAAAUGAAUGUGGACAGUAUGUGGUUUCGUUUCUCAACGAGAGCGCAACAUGUCAUAGCGGCAGUGAAUGGCAGGACACCUGGGAGCACAGCCCGAUAAAUGGAAACAUACUUUGACACAUAUCAAUUAAAUGGCACACCUCUGGGAAACAACAUCAUAUACUACCUGACUAUUCGCAUCAUCUGUGUAUGGAAUCACCAGAGACUGGAAGGGAUCAAAAAUUUGUUGGAUUUUUUUUUGUCAGCGCGUCGUGGAAGUUUUUGGCGCUUAAUUCUGACCGGCCAUUGGAGGCAACUGCCAAUUUUUGUCCAGGAGAAUCUCGGCUUGUUAGGCAAAAGACAUCAAAAAUGGUUUUUACUGCCAACUCACACAAGGCCAGUUUCCGUCAGCCAAACAAGACAAUCACGGGAACAAAUUCAAACACAAAUUGGGCAGCUGUUUAUCCUGGCGGGUUUCCAGAAAUUCCGGAUUUGCCAAAACUGACCACCUCCAGGAAGAAGUCUCGAGGAGCCAAUAUUUUUUUGUUCGGGGCUAUAGUUGGCGCGACUUCUAAACACAAACAACACAUAUUACAAUACAAACCUUCCUCUGUAAAUUUUUCACUCUACUUACUACUAUUUUGUUCGCACGUACACAUAAAUUAAACUGUCCAAAAUGAACACAAAUAAACACACCAUAAUUUGACAUUAAAUUUAAUAAAUA